UACGCGGGAUUUUUUUUUAAUUAGGUGGGUUUUUCUUGACUCAGUGUCAGAUUGGAGGUUGCAUUGCCAAGGUAAGCAGGUAAGUUCGUAUUACGUGUUUUAACUUUUUUCGUUAAGAUAAGUAUGAUUUGUGUUCGUUUGUUGAUUAAGUAUAAGCGUGAAUAUUGUUUAUAGUUGAUUAACUGAGUACUGUGUUAUAUGUCAGAUAAUGGCUGAUUUUUCCCCGAGCAAGUUUGUUGAGAUAAAUGAUGAAGAGGUGGAGGCGGUUCGACAUGAUUUUCAGUUGUCAACCUAUGUAUGCCUGGAUACUGCAAUGCCUCGCCAGGAGGUAUAUUCGCAGACUUUGCGAGUAAAUAAAAGGGCCAUGGAGCUGAUGGUCCGUCAGGCGUUCUGCAGAGCAAAAAGUUGCUCUUUUAAAAAAAGAGCUCCAGGGUACGAAGAUCAAAUUGGAAAAUGCUCUACAGCAGCUGGAGGUUGUCCAGGCAUCAUUCAGCUGUGCAUGUGAUGAUGUGACUGAAGCUGGAAGUCAGCAGACUGACCCUGUGAAGAUCAGUGAAGAAGCCUUUACUGAGAGUGAAACUGUUAAUAAUUAAUGGGGAUGAGGGUAAUGGGGAUUAAUUAAUCAACAUAUAAAGUAAAUUUGAUUUAGUUAGAAAAUAAAGAUAAUUUUAAUUGGUUAUGUUUCUUGUGGUUAUUGGUUAUU